UUUCUAACUGAAAUUCGUUGUUUUUUGCUUUUAAUUUAAAGUAUACUCCAAACAGACCCACGAACCAUAAACAUCCUUGUUAACAGGAAAUGCGAUAUUCUAUUUUUUCUUUUUUUUAAGUACAGUUGAAACAAAUUGAUAUUAAUGCAGUUCAACUCUAUUUUUAGUGCCCGCUUUUUCUUGCUUACUCAUGAGUGUUUGCGUUUUGCUCUUUUAUCUGGAAUGGAAGACAUUGAAAGGACCAGAAGGAAAAAAAAGAAAAAGAAAAAAGAACCUGCUCGCAAUGAUUCUAUUAUCUGGCUAACUACAACGGAAUGGAAGGAAAUUCAUUUACUUACUGGUGGACCCAAAGAAGGUAUCUCCAAAGUCAGAGGGUUCUCGCUAGUAUUUGCUCAUGGAGAAUUGGAUCAGUUGCUCUUCAGGGAUGGGUAUAUGAUGCAAUUGAAUCACAGGGCCAUGGCAAACAUUUGCUGAACGCCUAAAAUGUUCUGACGAGCAGCAGAUGACCACCCAAGAUUUGAUACGGAUACUACCUAAAUAUUCAUCGAACCAUCUGUGUUUGGAUCUUGACAUCCACAAUUCUCCGUAGUUCACUUGUGUGCGUAGCUCCGUGAUGGAACAUCCCAUCAAAAGUUGGAUGUUCAGCCGAUUUUGAUCAGCACAACUGACAUCCAGGUUGCCAUAAAAAUGAGAAGACUGCAGGCUGCUAUGUAACUAGUCCAGAUUACUUCCAGGUGAUGGAAGUGAGGAGCUUCUUGCCUCCCUUGUUUCUGUCUCUUUUCCAGUAUCCUUUAUUGGAGGAGAAAAAGAGGUUUGCUGGAUACGUUUGCUGUAUUUUCCUCCACUGUGCAGACACAAUAUCUGCUUCUGUGAGCAUUGCGGCGCGGUUUUAUCCAGCGUUCGUUCUGGACAUGCAUUGAGUUUGUCCACAGCGAAUAUCCUGUACAUCGCGCUUGUUUUCCGGACCUAGCUGCGACUCUGGUUUGAUGACUUGGAGGUUGUAUUUUCCCCGUUGUUUCCAA